rfam:Rattus norvegicus chromosome 20, whole genome shotgun sequence.
GGAGAGGUGGCUCAGUGGUUAAGAGCACUGGCUGCUCUUCCAGAGGUCCUGAGUUCAAAUCCCAGCAACCACA